rnacentral:rRNA from 1 species
UACGUAGGCAGCGAGCGUUGUUCGGAAUUACUGGGCGUAAAGAGUGUGUAGGCGGUGCUCUAAGUUCGGUGUGAAAUCUCCUGGCUCAACUGGGAGGGUGCGCCGGAAACUGGAGUGCUUGAGCGUGGGAGAGGAAAGCGGAAUUCCUGGUGUAGCGGUGAAAUGCGUAGAGAUCGGAAAGAACACCAACGGCGGAAAGCACUCUGCUGGGCCGACACUGACACUGGAGAGACGAAAGCCUAGGGGAGCGAAUGGG